UACGAAAGUGUCUUAUUUUUUUAAAGUAUUUCAAAGUAAAAUUACAUGUUAAUACGUAGUAUUAAUGGCGAGACUCCUGAGGGAGCAGUGCCAGUCGAAGACCAAGGCUGAGACGGCACCCUAGGAAGGGAUCCGUCAUCAAAAAUUCUAUUUAUAGAAUUUUACAG
rnacentral:sRNA from 1 species